AGGAGGCGAGAAAGCGGGGGAGAGCAAACAGGAUUAGAUACCGUGGUACUCCACGCCGUAAACGAUGAGUGAUAAGUGUUAGAGGGUCUCCGCCUUUUAGUGCAGAAGUUAACGCAUUAAGCACUCCGCGGGGGGAGUACGGCCGCAAGGCUGAAACUCAAAGGAAUUGAGGGGGGCCCGCACAAGCGGUGGAGCAUGUGGUUUAAUUAGAAGCAACGCGAAGAACCUUACCAGGUCUUGACAUCUUCUGAAAACCCUAGAGAUAGGGUUUCUCUUUGGGGAGCAGAGUGACAGGUGGUGCAUGGUUGUCGUCAGCUCGUGUCGUGAGAUGUUGGGUUAAGUCCCGCAACGAGCGCAACCCUUGAUUUUAGUUGCCAUCAUUAAGUUGGGCACUCUAAGGUGACUGCCGGUGACAAACCGGAGGAAGGUGGGGAUGACGUCAAAUCAUCAUGCCCCUUAUGACCUGGGCUACACACGUGCUACAAUGGACGGUACAAAGAGCUGCAAGACCGCGAGGUGGAGCUAAUCUCAUAAAACCGUUUUCAGUUCGGAUUGUAGGCUGCAAUUCGCCUACAUGAAGCGGGAAUCGCUAGUAAUCGCGGAUCACCAUGCCGCGGUGAAUACGUUCCCGGCCCUUGUACACACCGCCCGUCACACCACGA
rnacentral:rRNA from 1 species